CAGCCGCCGCGGUAAUACGUAGGUGGCAAGCGUUGUCCGGAAUUAUUGGGCGUGAAGGGCUCGCAGGCGGUUUCUUAAGUCUGAUGUGAAAGCCCCCGGCUCAACCGGGGAGGGUCAUUGGAAACUGGGAAACUUGAGUGCAGAAGAGGAGAGUGGAAUUCCACGUGUAGCGGUGAAAUGCGUAGAGAUGUGGAGGAACACCAGUGGCGAAGGCGAUUCUCUGGUCUGUAACUGACGCUGAGGAGCGAAAGCGUGGGGAGCGAACAGGAUUAGAUACCCCCGUAGUCCCUGUCUCUUAUAC
rnacentral:rRNA from 1 species